rnacentral:rRNA from 1 species
GCACGAAUGGCGUAAUGAUGGCCAGGCUGUCUCCACCCGAGACUCAGUGAAAUUGAACUCGCUGUGAAGAUGCAGUGUACCCGCGGCAAGACGGAAAGACCCCGUGAACCUUUACUAUAGCUUGACACUGAACAUUGAGCCUUGAUGUGUAGGAUAGGUGGGAGGCUUUGAAGUGUGGACGCCAGUCUGCAUGGAGCCGACCUUGAAAUACCACCCUUUAAUGUUUGAUGUUCUAACGUGGACCCGUAAUCCGGGUUGCGGACAGUGUCUGGUGGGUAGUUUGACUGGGGCGGUCUCCUCCUAAAGAGUAACGGAGGAGCACGAAGGUUGGCUAAUCCUGGUCGGACAUCAGGAGGUUAGUGCAAUGGCAUAAGCCAGCUUGACUGCGAGCGUGACGGCGCGAGCAGGUGCGAAAGCAGGUCAUAGUGAUCCGGUGGUUCUGAAUGGAAGGGCCAUCGCUCAACGGAUAAAAGGUACUCCGGGGAUAACAGGCUGAUACCGCCCAAGAGUUCAUAUCGACGGCGGUGUUUGGCACCUCGAUGUCGGCUCAUCACAUCCUGGGGCUGAAGUAGGUCCCAAGGGUAUGGCUGUUCGCCAUUUAAAGUGGUACGCGAGCUGGGUUUAGAACGUCGUGAGACAGUUCGGUCCCUAUCUGCCGUGGGCGCUGGAGAACUGAGGGGGGCUGCUCCUAGUACGAGAGGACCGGAGUGGACGCAUCACUGGUGUUCGGGUUGUCAUGCCAAUGGCACUGCCCGGUAGCUAAAUGCGGAAGAGAUAAGUGCUGAAAGCAUCUAAGCACGAAACUUGCCCCGA